AAGUCGUAACAAGGUUUCCGUAGGUGAACCUGCGGAAGGAUCAUUAUCACGUAUCCAAACGUAUCAACCAUUGUGAACUGUACCCGACCUAUAGAAUAAAAAUAAGAGGUAGUUGUUAAUUUUAACAUUUGAAUAACUUGAUUUGAAUUAUUCGUUAUUAUUAACCAAAAUGGCAUUUACUUGCUGUUUUACUCUUUUCAUUCUAUAGUGUAUUUUUCAAAUCAUUUAAUUAUUAACAAUUUAAAUAUACAAACAAUUUAUAAUUUGAACUGAUUUAAUUUCUUUUCUCUUUUUUUAAUUUAAUCAUUAAAGAGAGACUGAAAUAAUAUUACGAAACAUAAGAACAACUCUUAGCAACGGAUAUCUUGGUUCUC
rnacentral:misc_RNA from 1 species